rnacentral:rRNA from 1 species
UGCGCAGGCGGACCAAUAAGUCAGUGGUGAAAUCUCGGGGCUCAACCCCGAAACUGCCAUUGAUACUGCUGGUCUUGAAUACGGUUGAAGUAGGCGGAAUGUAGCAUGUAGCGGUGAAAUGCAUAGAGAUGCUACAGAACACCGAUCGCGAAGGCAGCUUACUAAGCCGAUAUUGACGCUCAGGCACGAAAGCGUGGGGAGCGAACAGGAUUAGAUACCCUGGUAGUCC